AUAUGCUACAAAGCAAAAAAAAGUGAGACAUGACAUUUGGAUAGCGUGAGCACUAAGGAGGUGCACUGACCUGUACGCGAGCGACCCAGACGGGCUGGAGAAAGACCUCAUACCUGCAAAGAAAACAAGCAGGUCAAAAAAAAGCCACUGCUCCAUCAAAGGGUAUCUGCUCUACCAAAACAAAAGUAGUAGGGAAGGCGGUGGUGAUCCAAAAAAAAAUCAAGAAAUGAGGGAGAAAAGCAAACCAAAGUGUGCUGGAGCCCAGUGAACAGAUUAAGCGAGAUACAUUUGGCUGCACUUUCCCUCAAUCACGACACAGACCUGCCACUCAAUGCCAUCAACUCUUGCCAGUUCGUCAUGACAACCUCUCCCCUUCCACAACAGAAACAAACAGAAGGACUCGAGAGAAUCCAGACGGACUGAAAAGUCCACUGCACGCUUGUCUGCAAUAUAUCGCUGUACAAUAUAUGCAACUGUUUGCUCAGCAGGAAUAGAGUCGCCAAAAACAAUUAAGCGCCACAAAUAUUUCUCCCGCCUGGUCAACGAGUCUGGGCUCCAAAAAAGCAGGGCGGGAAAUUAAAUAAUCCAUGUCCUGCGGUCCCCGGAGCAUCUGCGUUCAAUGCUUGUCAGCCAAAUGACUGAAUUUCGAAGCCCUUUGUCAUGAAUUGUUCAAAAAUGUCUGCUGUCAUUCCAAAUCAAAAAACUUUGGCAAGUUGAGCUCCAUGAAAGAUGUCUUAACUUUCAGGAGAAUUUUAUCAAACUAGUCAGCAUAAAGCAUGAGGUGCUUUUUUUGGGGGGGGGCUGCAAUUCAUAAUUCAUUUUCCCAUGUAUAUUUUAGCUCUCCUGCCUCAGCCAACCUCAUCUGGACGCUGGUGCAUUUUGGUGCUCGUGGACUUCCUUAUAAAAGUCCAAUGUCAACUGGAGAAGAGGAUGUUCACAUGCCACUCACCAUCAAUGUCCCUGUGGCUGAUGGCGAGCAUGGACACGGACUUGGUGAGGGGCAGCGUCAUCGGAGGGCAGCUGUUCCUCAAGGGACGAUAGCGCCUCGACUUCUGUGGCGGCGGGAGAGUCGAGGGUGAGACGAGUCAAACGACAGAACCAGAGCGCCUGGGUGAGAGCCCACCUGUUUUUCUAGCCCGCACGGCGGCCCCGCUUCUUCCUGCUCCUCGGUGAGCGACACGAGUGAGCCACGCUCGUCAGCGUCGUGCUGAAGCAUUCUGGAAGGUUCUAGAAUGCGGGCGCCCUGACUGGCCGGGCCCCGGGCCUCGUCUUGGCUGCCACUCAGGCCCUCCAGGCUGUAGCUGUGCCGACACAGAGAAACAACAUUACGGCUUGCGGUCAUGUCAAAGUAAUCGGUUGGUUUACAGUUUUACUAGUUGUUUUUGCUUGCACGACUUGGCCAAAACAAGACAACUGUUUACGGAGUCAAACUGUUUUUAUAGCCGCAUAUUGUAAUAAAACAUAAAGAGUAAACAUAAAAGUCAAAUCGGUGUAAUACACACAGGAUGAAUUCAUUUGAAAAACAUCGGCAUAAAUGAAUAUUCAAAAAUAAACACAAAUCAACGAAAAAUAUAUAUAUACCAUAAAUAUCAAUGGGAAAAAAAAGUCAAGUGGCAUGCUUUAUAAUUAAAACGGUGAAAAUGAUUUCGUUCCAAGUAUUAAAUACAUCUUUAAAUAAAAUACAAAAAAUUAAAAAUGAAGAAAAAAAAAAAAAAGAUGCAAAUUAAAUAUUUAAUUCCGGGUUUUGUGUUUUAAGUAUGACAUAUCUACCACCAACAUUUCAUAAUCUACAUUCUUCAAAGUAGGCACCAGCUAUCCGACGGCUUUAUGAUGUGACGCUUUAUGACCUGAGAUGACUUUCAGGUCACGGCUCUGCAAUAUCGACACAAAUUGAAAGAAACAAUGGCCAAGUACGCCACCAUGUGCACUAACUGAAACGGCGACCAUUGCCGAUGUCGUUGGACAGGACUCGGAAUGAAAUUUGAAUUGAGGCCAUGACUUUAAUCGGCUAAAGAUGACAGAUUAUUUGAACGGGAUUCACAACAAAGGCGGCUGAAUAAGGAAAUCCCGAUGCGGCAAUCACAGGCAGGCGAAAACCAGCGGCUACAUUUCGGGAUGAGCUAGCCCGGCCGGCUGCAGCGCUGAUAAAUCUCCCUUAUCUCCGCCGCAGCCCUGAGGUUUUGCAUGGCACCCCAUUAUCCAGCAAAUCAUCGGCCCGUCACAUCGGAACAUAAUUAACCUCAAGUGGACCAAAAGCGCCCGUGACUUGGCUGAUUGUCGGAGUGCAGAUAAGCACUCACCUAUCCUCGGGGAGUCGGCCGCAAACGUAUCCGUCACGCCGAGGCCCGCUUCAUGACAUUAUUAUCGCGCGGCGCUUUGCGGAGCCCCGAGGUCGUCUGCCAACAUGAAUCAGAGCGGCAGCUGCUAACAUGGCCCGCUGACUGACUGAUGGGACGGGAUGAGCGAUGAGACAGGCCAGGCAAAUCCAGGCGUGGGGCGGCCGAUUUUGACGCGUGGAAAGAAUCUCUUUCCCUUUCAGAUAUUCAAAUCCAACCAUUUUCACUUGUUUACCUAAUUGUUUGAACGACGGACGAUUUUUUUUUCCUUUCCGCGUGUUCCCGACGUCGUCGCCACAGCAUGUUUGGAUAUUAAAAGCAAACACCACCGAUCACGAGGACAUCGAUUCGGUCUCAUGUGCGUCCGUUUAGGGAAUUGUAAAACGCUAGUCUCAGACCACAAGAUCUUCUCAUUAUUCCUUGUGUGUGUGUGUGUGUGUGUCAUAUUUUCUUUAAGCAACACGAGAGCUACUAAAACACUCAUGUGGUCCUUGUGCAUUCCGAGCAGCAAGAAGCACACACCACACCCACAACCGCUGCCUCUGGGGAAAGAACAACAAUGCAGCGGUUGUUUGUCUCCCUUUGCAGCUGGGAGGUGACGAAUCAGACAAAGAUAGGAAGUGAAAGAUAAUUCUCCCGCCGACUCGGGGUGGUGUUUACCUCCUCUGGUUCAUGGCAGGGCCUCCUCCGUUGUUCUUCCCGGGUCCCCAACUGUGUCGGCGAAGAGGCGAGAGGGAGCGCAGGCUGCUGCGCAGGAGACAGGAGCGCCGCGGCACCUCGCUCACUCUGUCCUUGGCCUCCUCCUCGGCGUCGCCGGCGACACUUCCGUCGGCGGCGGCGGCGGGCACGGGGGCCCCCGGGUGGACGCUGCCCUCGGGGCUCCAGCCGCUGCUACCCAGGCCCUGGCUGCCGUCCGGGCUGGAGCUGGACGGCCCCACGCUGGCCGUGUCGUCCGUGGAGGAGCAGGAGAUGGACACCUCGCUGGUGCUGUCACCGCCCGUCACUCGCUCGUCAUUCUGGCACAAUUGAGGGCAAAAAGAUUCUGGUGCAGCGGGUCAAACCUUGUUGAAGACGCUGUCGUAUCCCACCUCGGCGCUCAGCAAGCUCUCGGCAUCGCUCCCCGAGUCUCUGUGAGUGGUCGAGGAGCAACUGUUGCUGCUGACCGUCCUGCUGGACAAAGCAGGCAAUGUUGCCGACCGGGAAGACCCUGAAAAGACACCGCGCAAUGGUCAAAAUUGAACAGCUUGGAGAUAAGCAAGUUUCUGAGAGCAAUUCAUCUCACUUCCCACUGUGAACACAAUAAGCGAGGCUGUUGGGCAAGAAGGUGAAAUGAGCUCUUGAAAUUUGAGAAGGUGUGAAAAGACAAAUUGGCUCAAUGGCUGACUGUCUUUGACAGGACAAAAAAGAAAAUAGCUCUCUGGUGUGAAGCGUGAAGGCAAACAACUACCGGUUGUGUGUUUUGAGACCCUUUUCGCACUGCUUUGCAUUUUUUCCAUGCGGCAAGUCAAUUCCCCCACUUUGGAGGUAUUAUCAGAGGCCAUGAGGAUGGAUAGUUACGUCAUCCUGAACCCGAAUUGAACCGAGGUGUCACACUGACAAAGUCAGCUUUUUCCUCUUGUUGCCACCUGACGAGUAUUUUGUGCUGCCACGUCUUAUGGAAAAUAAAGACACUUUUUGUAGA